CUUUCAAGCUUUCGGGCGUGAAAGAAAAGGUAGCUUCGGCCUCCGAUCGAGGAUGAGCCCGCGGUGGAUUAGCUUGUUGGCGGGGUAAUGGCCCACCAAGGCGACGAUCCAUAGCUGGUCUGAGAGGACGAUCAGCCACACUGGGACUGAGACACGGCCCAGACUCCUACGGGAGGCAGCAGUGGGGAAUCUUGCGCAAUGGGCGAAAGCCUGACGCAGCGACGCCGCGUGGGGGAAGAAGGCCUUAGGGUUGUAAACCUCUUUCAGGUGGGACGAAGCCACUCGGGUUAAUAGCCCAGAGGGUGACGGUACCGCCAGAAGAAGCCCCGGCUAACUACGUGCCAGCAGCCCGGUAAUACGUAGGGGGCAAGCGUUGUCCGGAUUUAUUG
rnacentral:rRNA from 1 species